AGGGAGAGAGUGAGGUCUCUGAUGGCCUAGGAAUUGGCCUCCUCUAAUUGUGAGGGUGAAGGGUCCUUUUAUAGAAUAAGGACUCCUCACUUAUUACAUAUUUGCCCAUUCCUUUAUUACAUAAUUACAUUCAAGUCCCCCGAGUAUUUGUACGAGAUCUAAAUACGGAAGCCCUAAGUAUGAUAUAAACAACUUAUGUUGUGCGUUUUCCAUGCUUCUGAUUAUAUCAAGGUGUUUUGUGAUAACUUUCACAUAUGAUGUUUUGUGCAUGUGGUAAAAUUCAAGUUGAAAGAAAGUAUCAAUGUGGUUAAUAACGGGUCACUGAUGAGUCUUUACGAAUCUUGACAAUAUUUGCAUUUGUUAUGUGUGUGGUAAGCGACCAUACUGAUAUAAAUACCCAAGCCUCAUGUCUAUAAUAAUAUAAUCUUCACGUCUAUUUUUGUUUAUCAGAUAAUCUUCACGUCUAAAACUUGAGAAACGAUCGGGGAUGGAGAGAUGCACGAAAUUGCAGAGACAAUCCAUUUUAGUAUAAUAAUCUUCAUGUACAUAUAAACUAACGUAGAGUCAAAGUUAUGUAGCUUUGUCAUUUUGAGAUUUUAAUAAAAAAAUUGUAAAGUUCUAUUUUUUUUGUUUUUAUUUGUCAAAACUGUUGUAAGACGUUACCAGAUGAGCCCUUAACUUAUGUUAGCCAUCAUUAGUUAGUAAACAUUACUAUACCAACAAGCCACCAAAGUCUAUGUGCUAUAUUAUAUAUAAAAAGGAAAACUAAUGAAAAGGGUUUGAAAACUUUGAGUUUUAAUGAUAAUGACAAUAUAAAGGGUAAAAUGAAUAGUACCAGGAUUGACUUUUUAGUGUAAAAUUGUGGUUUUUCGUUAGGGUGAACAGUACCGGGAGCUUUUCGUUAAAGUUCCCUAUAUAAAACUGGGUUCUAAUGAAAAAGCACUUUAGAAACCACUUAUGUUUGUCACUUUUGUUCUCUAGAAGCCAUAAUGAAAAAGGAAAUUGAAAUUAAUAUUCAAAAUGAAGAUCUCAUAAUAAAAAUAAGAAAUAAAAAACCAAAUAGAGGAAGAACUUCAUCAUUCAUGUGUAAUUGAUCGUACCUUGUGUCACGGGCCGCAUGUUAAAAACAAAGAAAAUGCCCAAGACACCAUAUAUCUAAGCCCAUAAAGCCUUGUCUUCAUGGAAGCUUCUGGAACAUCCCGGAAAAAUCAAGAACAUGGCGGAGCGUUCAAGAUAAUCUAGGGCAUUCCGGAACAUUCCACACAAGUGUACAAAUUCAAGCCUCACCUAGAACAAUCUAGAUUAGGCAAGUUGUAUCUAGAACUAUACUAGAUAUUUUUGGAUGUAAGUAGGGAAUUCUAGAACCCUCCAUUGAGGAGGUGACUUAGGCCUAUAAAUAGGAGGUAAGGCCAUUUGGCCAAACCAUCCAAGAAUUGUCAGCAAUUGUAAAGUUAUCCUAAGUUUCAAUACAAAGCUUCAUUUCUCCCAUCUUCUAAGUGAUUUUAGCAUUCUCCAAGCUAUCUUAGCUUUCUUUGUGAUUCGAUCCGGGGAAGCGAGGCUUCGAAGGCUUACUUAGCUUGUUCAUCGAGGUAUUCAAGUCUAAGUGCCGCACGGGCGGAAGGCUUAAAGAGUCAUCCCGUGACAGCUGGUAUCAGAGCCAAGCUCGUGAAUCACUUGAAGGAAAGUAGGAUAUGGCAAGUGGAGAGAUGGUGUCCGGAGUCUCCGAUCUAAGGGAGCGUACUGCCGAGGUCCAAGAUGUUGCCAAGAGCAAGCCAAAGUUAAAGGACUUGCAAGCAUCGAUGGAGACCAUGGAAGAGCGACUCGAGAAGGUGGAACGAACCAUACUCGAGUUCAAUACUCGACUUGAUGACGACGUUGUCGACAAGGAGGAAAUCCAAACCAUAGUGGACAAUGGUAAGGAUGAACUUCGUGGCUUGGUGGAAGGGCUACGAGAUGAGCUCCUUGGCGCUCUCAACACCAUGGCAGACAAGAUGCGGAGGAAAGUCCAGGUUCACCUUGACAACAUAGAGGCAAGGUUUGUGGCGCUUCAAGAAGAGAUAAAGGACACAAGGGAACUUAAGGGAGAUGUGGCAUUUUGUAAAGAAGCAGUCGUGAAGCAAUUCGUACAAGGGCCGAGGGAAAUCAAGGCGUUGGACUCCAAGGUAAUCGACUCCUUUAAACCCAAAUCCUAUAAUGGGAAGAGGGAAGCAAAUGAGCUCGACACAUUCAUGUGGAACGUGGAGCGAUACUUCAAGUACCUGAAGCUUGAAGAUGACGAGUCCAAAAUCUCAAUGGCAACCAUGUUCUUAGCUGACAACGCCUUUAUGUGGUGGCGUCGUCGGAGCAUGGAGAUUGAGCAAGGUACGUUAUCUCUCACCACUUGGGAUGAAUUUAAGAAAGAUCUUAUGUUGCACUUCUAUCCCCAAAAUGCCAAGUACGAAGCCAAGGAGAAACUAAGGUGGCUCAAGCAAACGGGGAGCGUCAAAGACUAUGUCAACGCCUUCGUGAGCUUGUUAUUCGAGGUGCCCAACAUGUUAGAGGAAGACAAUCUCAUGUACUUCAUGAGUGGACUGCAAAAUUGGGCAAAACUCGAACUACAAAGGAGACACGUGCAAACAUUGUCUGAUGCCAUUGCCGCCGCCGAAUCCUUGAUUGAGUUUAAAUCAAGCCACCAAGGUGAUUCCAAGUCCACGGGGAAUAGGGGUAACCAUGAGAGAAGUGGGGGAAAACACAAGCCGAAGGACAAGGCCGAGACAAGCAAACCGAAGGAGAAGAAAGCCGAUAAGCAUGACAAAGGCAAGGGUAAGUCUUGGCAACCCACUUGUUACCUAUGCGACGGCCCUCACAUGAUGCGAGAUUGCCCACAAAAGAAGGCCUUUAAGGCCAUGGCUUUCAAGGAGGACAAGGCCGAAGAAAGUAACGAUGCAACGAUGGGAUGCAUCCAUCUACUGAAUGCCAUCCAGACAACCCUCCCACAACCUAAGGCUCAAGUUGGGGGAGGAUCAUUGUUCGUCGACGUCAAAACUGGUGACAAGACGACGCGUGUGUUGGUGGACACGGGAGCAACACACAACUUCAUGACGUCGGAGGAAGCCACAAGGCUUGGCCUCUGAGUCACCAAGGAGCCCGGUAGCGUGAAGACGGUAAAUUUCGCUGCCACCCCCAUUGUUGGAGUUGCGCGCAAUGUACAAGUAGACAUUGGCACAUGGAAGGGAAAUAUCGACUUCACCGUAGUCAAGAUGGAUGACUAUGGCGUAGUCAUUGGGUUAGAGUUCAUGGACAAGGUACGGGCCUUUCCCAUUCCCUUCUACAAUAUCUUCUGUAUCCUAGACGACGGAAGACAACCUUGCCUGGUGCCAUUGGAAAGGCAAGCCAAGAAGUGUACCCAGCACUUGUCGGCAAUUCAAUUUGCCAAGUCUUGGAAGAAAGGCGAGGCCACAUUUCUUGCAACUCUAAUGUUGAAUGAAGGGGAGGAGAAACACGGGCCUUUGCCGAAACAAGUGGAAGCCGUCCUUAUGGAGUUUGCGGACGUGAUGCCUAAAGAACUGCCAAAAAAGUUGCCACCAAGGAGAGAGGUCGACCAUGCGAUUGAGUUGGAGCCUGGUGCUAAGCCUCCCUCCAAAUCACCUUAUAGGAUAUCGCCACCCGAGUUGGAGGAAUUGAGGAAGCAACUCAACGAGCUACUUGAUGCUGGCUACAUCCAACCCUCCAAGUCCCCAUAUGGUGCACCCGUCCUGUUCCAACGCAAGAAAGAAGGUAGCCUAAGGUUGUGCAUCGACUAUAGAGCAUUGAACAAGAUUACCAUCAAGAACAAGUACCCACUUCCGUUGAUCGCCGACUUAUUCGAUCAACUUGGUGAAGCAAGGUACUUCACAAAGUUAGAUCUUCGAUCGGGAUACUACCAAGUGAGGAUAGCCCCUGGAGACGAAUCGAAGACGGCGAUGGUGACCAGAUAUGGAUCGUUCGAGUAUAAAGUCAUGCCAUUUGGUCUGACCAAUGCCCCCGCAACAUUCUGCACAUUGAUGAACAAGGUAUUCCAUCCUUAUCUUGACAAGUUUGUCGUGGUUUACAUUGAUGAUAUUGUUGUCUAUAGCAAGACAUUGGAGGAGCACGUCAACCACUUGCGCAUAGUGUUCAAGACCCUUCGGGAGCAUGAACUCUAUGUCAAGAAGGAGAAAUGCUCAUUUGCCAAAAAAGAAGUAGAAUUUCUUGGCCACAAGAUAAAGGAGGGGAAACUUAUGAUGGAAAAGGGCAAGAUCAAGGCCAUUCAAGAGUGGGAACCGCCGACCAAGGUACCAACACUACGAUCAUUUCUGGGGCUAGCCAACUACUAUCGGAGAUUCAUUAAAGGGUACUCAGCCAUAGCGGCACCCUUAACAGACCUUCUUAAGAAGAAUAAGGCAUGGGAAUGGACGGACCGUUGUCAAGAGGCCUUUGAGAGGUUGAAGAAGGCCCUAAUGGAGGAGCCUGUACUAAGGUUGCCCGACCUUAGCAAGCCAUUCGAGUUGCACACUGAUGCUUCCGACUUUGCCAUAGGAGGAGUGUUGAUGCAAGAGGGACAUCCGAUAACUUAUGAAAGUCGCAAGCUAAACAAUGCUGAGAAGAGGUACACGACCCAUGAAAAGGAGAUGACCGCCAUCGUCCAUUGCCUUAGAGUUUGGAGGCAUUACUUGCUUGGUACCCCAUUCAUCAUCAAGACGGACAACGUUGCCACUAGCUACUUUCAAACCCAACAAAAGCUCACACCUAAGCAAGCAAGGUGGCAAAAGUUCUUAGCAGAGUUUGAUUACAAGCUAGAGUACAAGCAAGGAAAGGAGAACGUGGUGGCCGAUGCUCUAAGUAGACGAGUAGAGUUAAUGGCUACGGUACUCAAGCCGCAAAGCCAUCUCUUGGGCCGUGUCCGAGAAGGUUUAUCACAUGACGUCCAAGCCAAGAACAUUGUGGAGUUUGUCAAGGAUGGGAAGACAAGAAGGUUUUGGCUUGAGGACGGCUUGCUAUACACCAAGGGCAAGCGGAUCUACAUCCCAAAGUGGGGGAGCUUGAGGAAAGAAAUCCUUAAGGAAUGCCAUGACUCAAUGUGGGCAGGACAUCCUGGCACUCACCGCACGUUGGCUUUGGUGAGCGAUGCUUACUAUUGGCCACAAAUGUGGGAUGAUGUAGAUUCAUACGUGAAGACUUGUCUUGUGUGCCAACAAGACAAAAUGGAACAAAUGCAACCGGGAUGACUGUUGGAACCACUUCCCACCCCAUCAAGACCAUGGGAGUGUUUAACCAUGGAUUUCAUCACACAUUUGCCCAAGUCUGAUGGAUGUGGAUCUAUCUUCGUCGUGGUCGAUAGAUUCACCAAGUAUGCCACUUUCAUACCCGCACCUGUGGAGUGCACAGCCGAAGUAGCUGCACGUUUGUUUCUAAAGCACGUGGUGAAGUAUUGGGGUGUUCCGAGGAGCAUAGUCAGCAAUCGAGAUGCUCGCUUCACGGGUAGAUUUUGGAAGGAGCUCUUCAAGCUACUUGGCUCAAAGUUAGACUUCUCCACAACUUUUCAUCCCCAAACUGAUGGACAAACGGAGCGGGUUAAUGCAUUGUUGGAGACUUAUUUGCGGCACUAUGUUAGUGUCAAUCAACGAGAUUGGGCUAAGUUACUUGAUGUUGCCCAAUUCUCUUAUAACUUGCAACGUUCGGAGUCGACGGGGAAAAGUCCGUUCGAGUUGGCUAUAGGGCAACAACCCUUGACCCCGAACACGGUCGUGACUGGCUACACUGGAAUAGUCCAGCCGCUUUCAAAACCGCUAAGAAGUGGCAAUUAGCCCACGAACUUGCUCGAGCUCACUUGGAGAAGGCUUCAAAGAAGAUGAAGAAAUGGGCGGAUCGUAAGCGAAGGAAUGUGGAGUUCCAAACUGGCGACCAAGUCUUUGUGAAGCUCAAUGCGUCUCAGCACAAGAGUACUCGUGGCUUGCACAAGAGCUUGUUGCGGAAAUAUGAGGGACCAUUCCUUAUCAUCAAGAAAGUUGGCAAAGCCGCGUAUGUUGUGGAACUCCCACCCCGCCUUAAGUUUCACCCGGUGUUCCAUGUGAGCAACUUGAAGCCUUAUCAUGCAGGCGAUGAGGAACCAAGCCAAGGUGAGUCUCAUCGAGCACCCCCUUUGAUGACAGAGGCAUUUGACAAAGAAGUGGAGAGCAUUGAAGCCAAGUGUGUCGUGGUGCGACCAAGACAACCAAAGCAUGUGGAGUACUUUGUCAAAUGGAAGGGGCUACCAUACUCCGAAGCAACAUGGGAGAAGGAGACGUCCUUAUGGCAAUAUAAGGACCUGAUUAAUACAUUCGAGAGGCAAGAGUCGACGAGGACGUCGACGGCUUAAGUGGGGGAGGAUGUCACGGGCUGCAUGUUAAAAACAAAGAAAAUGCCCAAGACACCAUAUAUCUAAGCCCAUAAAGCCUUGUCUUCAUGGAAGCUUCUGGAACAUCCCGGAAAAAUCAAGAACAUGGCGGAGCGUUCAAGAUAAUCUAGGGCAUUCCGGAACAUUCCACACAAGUGUACAAAUUCAAGCCUCACCUAGAACAAUCUAGAUUAGGCAAGUUGUAUCUAGAACUAUACUAGAUAUUUUUGGAUGUAAGUAGGGAAUUCUAGAACCCUCCAUUGAGGAGGUGACUUAGGCCUAUAAAUAGGAGGUAAGGCCAUUUGGCCAAACCAUCCAAGAAUUGUCAGCAAUUGUAAAGUUAUCCUAAGUUUCAAUACAAAGCUUCCUUUCUCCCAUCUUCUAAGUGAUUUUAGCAUUCUCCAAGCUAUCUUAGCUUUCUUUGUGAUUCGAUCCGGGGAAGCGAGGCUUCGAAGGCUUACUUAGCUUGUUCAUCGAGGUAUUCAAGUCUAAGUGCCGCACGGGCGGAAGGCUUAAAGAGUCAUCCCGUGACACUUGGAACCCUCCCAAACCUCAGAGCCGCACAAGGUUUAUGUGCAUUUUCCCUCCAACCCAUCUUGCUGCACGUUAAACCAAAUUUAAAAAAAAAAAGAGUUUUUGAACCGUUAGAGAAAAAACAAAUAUUUAACAAGAAAAAAAAAUGAAAUUGUACUUGUUCAAUUUUCGUCAGGGCAGAUAAAACAAUGGAGCUGGAUCCUCUCCGAGGCAAACCCUCGGGAUCCUGCUGAGCAACAAACACGGGCCGUUGGAUGUCGAUCCAACGACUACAAUUAUUAUAACUUUAAGAGAGGCCCUCCUGUUUGUAGCCGUUGGAUCGAAAUCCAACGGCCCGUGUUUGUCGCUCAGUAGGAUUCCGAGGGUUUGCCUCAGAGAGGAUCCAGUCCUAAAACAACACCACCCAAAAUGUGCUUGUGAAAAAUGAAAAAUGUUAAGGAGAUUAUAUUUUUGUACCACUUUAGUAUACGAUCUUAUGUGGCAAAUGAUGUGUAUAUGCCACAUCAGUUAAUGAAUCUAUUUGAUUAUAUAUUAGUUGUAUUUAUCAGUUAUCAUGUCAGAUGGUACAAAAAUGUGAUUACCCUAGCAUUACUUUGUGAAAAAACCAAUCAAAUGAAGAAAAAGAAGCUACUUUUGUCAUCAUAUAAUAGAAAGAAUAGAAAAAACAAGAGUGGAGGGUUGCGUUUACCGGAUUCUAUUGUUGCUGUUUGUGUUUGUGUUUGGGGUUACAAAAUUAAUUUUUUCUUUUUCAUUUAUUUAAGAGCAAAUUUAAAAGUUUGGUAGAUAAAUUUUUCUGUUUAGGUAUAGAAAUAAGAAAGAUCUUCAUGCUACACAUGGACCUGCCCUUGUAGGCCUUAAUUUUGGACUAUUGGCCCUCACUCGCAAAAGUGGAACAAAUACUCCUACGGCGCCGUUUCAUGACCUAUAUGAGAUUGUACCGUACGUUUGCCCUUUUACCGCCAAGUCCUUGUCCGACCCGCAUUACGCUCCGAAAGUCAUCUCACCUCCUCGGCCCCAAAUUCCUGCAGGUAAAUCGCACCUCAUUGUAUUCCUCGUUAAUUUCUCUUGUUUUGCGUUUGGUUGCUGAGAAAAUAGAUAAAGAGAAAGAAAAACGUGGUCUUUCGUUUGCGUUUUGUUUAUCAGAUAGCGUGGGUAAUAGACGUUACUAAAUUCCGUGUGGAGGAUUUUACGAGGAAUUCGAGGAGUCGGCGGCUUUUGGAACUUGGGCUCAGAGACGGCCAAGGUGAGGUAGCAGCUGAGGAGUAUUCUCAUAUCCCGGCAACCCCAGACGACGUCGUUCCUGGAACUAAGGUAUUUUCUGGUAUAGAUUAAACUCGCCCACUACAUUUAUAAUGAAUUUGGAAAUUUUAGGUCACGACUUACAGUUUAUGGCUCCAAACUGUUUGUCACGAAAUUGAUUAUUUGAUUGGUGGUGUUUUGGUAUUAAGAGGAUGAACAGAUUCGUGCUCUAGAUCAGGGCAAAAGCUUGCCGUGAGAAAUUGAGGAGGGAGAGAUUUAAUGACUGGUAUGUGUCCAAUCUCAAAUUAUAUUUUUUUACAUUUUUUGAAGAAUUGGGUUGUUAUGUAAUGAUGAAAUGAAUGGUGGUUUUCUGUUGAAUUUUACUGUUUUGCAAUUUGGGAUUUUGGUGUGGGUUGUAAAUUUUGAAUUUUUUUUUUUAUGCGGAUGAUUGAAUUUCUCUUGCUACAAAAACUAAUGAAUUGAGACUGAAACAUAAGAAGUUGCCAUCAAGUGCUUAUGUUUUAGUAUAAUUUCACUUCUAUGAUUCCAAAGUGUUUCCCCCAAUCCAGUUUUGUCUUUUCAGAUUAAUACAAUGCCACAACCCAUGCAGAAGAAUAUAGCUGAGUGAGCAACUUUUGUUUUUAAUACUGUGUUUUGAAAAAAUUUUGACGAAAGAAAAGAUCGAAGCAACUGAACAUGGGCUGGGGUUUGCAAUUGGUUUUCAAGUAAGGGAUGUAAUAAGCACUCAUAAAGUGGGAACAGUCGAAGUUGACCCUUUUUAGAAUAAGUGGCACUUGGCGGUUAUAGAACUGAGGAGUGAAAUUGCAGAGCGCAUGUAUAUUUAUCCUUCUUAAGUGUUGUUUUUGGAUCGAACACAAUUUCAUGUACAAUUCAUAUUUUUGCUUUUCGUUUUUUCAGUUUGUGUUCUGUUCAUGGUUAAGAAGACAUGAAUCACAUGUAUGUAAAUUUUGCAUAUCACGUAUAUACUUAGAACUUUUGACGUGUUUUUUAUGAUUUUAAAACCCACAGCAUUGCACAGGCACCAUCACUAGUAGAAACUAAAACUGUAAAAAAAGCUCAUGAACACAUCAGUCAGAAUGGAAGGUAAGUGGAGAAAAUUUCCGAGAUAUUCUAUUGAGCAAUCCAUUUAUGAGCCUUGCAAAUGAGCUUUUUGAUCUUACCAGGAACAGCUCUACAAUCUUAAACAACUUCCGUCUACAGUUUUGGAGAAUCCGACAGGAGACCAUUUUUUGAUUGCGCAAACGAGUUCAUCAAUUGCAAGGGUAGUAGAAAAUGUAAUAAAUCUUCUAGUAAAUGUACAAUCAAUCUUCAGUUAACCUAUCAGGGCAAGUCAAGAUUAAUGAAAAGGUAGUAGAAACCAUUGACUGGCAUCUUCCGGCUAUCAUUGAUUUUCUUUCUAACCUUAAAAGUAAAUUCCUGGGAUAUGUGGUGGAAGCAUGGCAAGUAUUUGUGCAAAUUCGAGUAGUAUUUGUCAAAUAUUUGGAUGAAUGGCUUGUAUUGAUUGUUGUAAUGUUGAAAUGUUUCUAGAUGCAAUAUAUCUUCAAAAUUCAAAACAACUACUUUUUGAACAAAUCAUGGACCUGCAUGCGCACGAUAGGAAGGCAAUUAGAACUUAGGAGAGAGAGAAAAAGAAAUACAUGUAUGAUGUUCUUGCCAAAAUCAGCUGUGAGAUUGGUAAACCUCUUCAUAUCAAUCCAUGUCAUGGGGUUUAAUAACUGAUCGGGGUGCGGAGCCUCGGCGAGUUUGGGUGAAUCGCUUAACCUCAAUGUUUCAAGCUUUGAAAGGCCAUUGAGGCUGUGUAGGGUAUGAAAAUCAUUCCCUCCAAGACAAAUAUUGUAAAGAAAUUAGACUCCCAAGAUCCUUAGGCAUUGCAUCGUCAGGUUUGCACCACGAGAGAUUUAAUUCCCUUAAAGAGUUUAAGCCAUGUAAUGAAUGGGGCAAAGGAAUAGGCAGAGUUCUCCGUAGAGAUAAACGAGUGAGAUUCUUCGACCCUAUUAUGGAAGGUGGUACUUGUCUUAUGGCUGUAUGCUCUGCUUCAAGAACCCCAAAGAACCUCAAACGCCAAUAUCCGAUUCAUAAGAAAUCUGAUAUCCGAUUCUUUAACUUUUAUUACAACCGUCAUCUAUAAAAUUUGAACUCAGAACCUCUUUGAUAGAGUGGGGACCCCAUCUCCAGAUUAAAGAUGACAAAUUCAAGUGCAGCAACAACAUAGUACAUCUAAACAGCACUCACAAGUCUCAUAGCAGCUGAAACAACAAGAAGCUGCAAACAAACUGCACCGAAAUUCACAGAUCACAAAAUGAAAUUCACAGAUCAACCGGAGACAUUUCUUGGUACCACGAUGGUGCAUACAUUUUCUCUUCUUCCUCCUCCCACCACAAAUUAAGAAACAGAUAAAGACUACAACAACAACAACAACAACAAAGCCUUUUCCCACUAGUGGGGUCGGCUAUAUGAAUCCUAGAACGCCAUUGCGCUCGGUUUUGUGUCAUGUCCUCCGUUAGAUCCAAGUACUCUAAGUCUUUUCUUAGAGUCUCUUCCAAAGUUUUCCUAGGUCUUCCUCUACCCCUUCGGCCCUGAACCUCUGUCCCGUAGUCACAUCUUCGAACCGGAGCGUCAGUCGGCCUUCUUUGCACAUGUCCAAAUCACCAGAGCCGAUUUUCUCUCAUCUUUCCUACAAUUUCGGCUACUCCUACUUUACCUCGGAUAUCCUCAUUCCCAAUCUUAUCCUUUCUCGUGUGCCCACACAUCCCAUGAAGCAUCCUCAUCUCCGCUACACCCAUUUUGUGUACGUGUUGAUGCUUCACCACCCAACAUUCUCUGCCAUACACACCAUCGCUGGCCUUAUUGUCGUCCUAUAAAAUUUUCCCUUGAGCUUCAGUGGCCUACGACGGUCACACAACACGCCGGAUGCACUCUUUCCAUCCAGCUCGUAUUCUAUGGUUGAGAUCUCCAUCUAAUUCUCCGUUCUCUUGCAAGAUAGAUCCUAGGUAACGAAAACGGUCGCUUUUUGUGAUCUUCGCUAGAUUGCUCCGGUCAUUAGUGUGGAUAAGUAUAUAAAUGGAUAGAGAUAGGAAAGCAAACACAAGAUGUACGUGGUUCACCCAGAUUGGCUACGUCCACGGAAUAGAAGAGUUCUCAUUAAUUGUGAAGGGUUUACACAAGUACAUAGGUUCAAGCUCUCCUUUAGUGAGUACGAGUGAAUGAUUUAGUACAAAUGACAUUAGGAAAUAUUGUGGGAGAAUGAUCUCGUAAUCACGAAACUUCUAAGUAUCGGAGUGUGGUGUCGUCUUGACUUGCCUUAUCUGUCUCAUAGGUAGAUGUGGCAUCUUCUCUGGAAGUACUCUUCCUCCAUCCAGGGGUGGUAUCUUUAACUGGUGGAGAUGCACAAGGUAAUGUAUCAAUUUCACUUGAAGCUUACUUGUAGUUUCAGGCUUGGUCAAGCGCGAUACAAACCAUGUAGUAGGAGUCCCCCAAGUCGCCGAGCUAGGGGGGUCUGCUGAAAGAGGUGACAGACAAGGUAAGCAAUCAGAGCUCCGACUGAUUGUUCACCUUCUCCCCAUCUUGCAGCAGCAGCAUGAAGGAUAAAGAGAAGAAAAAAUGAGAAAGAGAUGAUAUGAGAUACUUUUGCUUUUGAAGAAGUAACUUUCCACAGGCUUAUUCUUGAACUGAGCUGGAGGGUUUUCUGGUUUCCUCCAGAGUAUAAGGCCGACUGAAGAAUUUGAGGGUCAAAACAAGUCCAUCAAAUCUAGAGUACGUUCCACCCUGCUGAUAUGGGAUACUUUUGCUUUUGACAGAGUCAUGGAUGUAUCGGCACGUGUGCUGUUACGCUUGUCUCCACAUGCUUCCUUGUAUCCUUCGCACUUGCCCUAUCUGUUCCUUAAGCAGAUGCGGAAUCUUCCCUGGAAACAUAAGAUGUUGAAGAUGAGUACUCGAGAGCAAUGCCAGGUAAGUAAUCAGGUAAGGGGUUCCAGGUAGUCAGUUCCUGGCUGGAAGCUUGAUUCCAAGUGCUGACUGAUUGCUCUCUUUCUCCUUGUCUUGCAGGUAAAAACAAGGCCAAAAGAAAAAACAGGGAAAAAGCAUGAUAUGGGAUACUCUUGCUUUUAACCCUGAUGAUAUGAGAUAUUCUUGCUCUAGUAUAGCUUGUUUGCAGAGGUAUUAUCGGGGGGAAAGAAAGCUGAAUAUUUCGAAAGGCUUUGUUGGGAGUGCCCUCUCAGAUAUGAUGAAGGGUUGAGCAUUUUUGCAGGUCUGCCUGUCCGUUGGGGAUGGAGGUCGACAUAUAUAGGAGUCUCCCUAACAACAAGUAGUAAUGCUAUUCCUUUACCCUGCUUGGUCAUAGCACGGUAGUGGGAGCUGCCAGUUUCACAUGUUUUAACUCUGUCAGAGCACUUUGAAAAAGUGGUCUGUGGUAUCUGGCUCUCGAGAUUCGGAGAACAAUGCCUCUUCGAUUUUUGAGAAAGCAAUCAUGUUGGGGGUCUGACUCUCGAGAUUCGGAGAGCAGUGUCUCUUCGAUUUUUGAAGAAGUAAUCAUGUUGGGAGUCUGGCUCUCAAGAUUCGGAGGGCGGUGCCUCUUCGAUUUUGGAGCAAGCAAUCUUGUUGGGAGUGUUGUCUCGAAUGUGAGUAAAGGUUGGACAUGUUUGCUAGUCUACCUUGCCACGAAGCACAAAGGUUGACACACAGGGACUUUCCAAUUAUCCAGCAAUGGUACUGUUCCUUUACCCUCUCUUCGAUUUUGAGAAAGUAGUCAUGUUGGGAGUCUGGCUCUCGAGAUUCGGAGGACGGUGCCUCUUCGAUUUUGGAGCAAGCAAUCUUAUUGGGAGGGUUUUCUCGAAUGUGAGUAAAGGUUGGGCAUGUUUGCUAGUCUACCUUGCCACGAAGCACAGAGGUUGACACACAGAGACUUUCCAAUUAUCCAGCAGUGGUACUGUUCCUUUACCCUUGUGGGUAAUAAUAUGGUAGCUAGACCUUCAAAAUUUAUGUGUCUAAACUUUGUUAGUGCUGUUUCUUUGCUAUUCUUUUACCUUUUUUGGUCAGAGCGAUGUAGUGGGAGCUGCAAGCUUCACGUGCUCAACUUUGGCAGAGAACUUUGGCAAAGUGAUCUGUGGUACCCAUGAGUUAUUGUUGCGUGUGGGAAGUGGGUGAUUGAACAGUAAGAUUCAUGUGCUUUCUACUUCACCAGAAGUCUUCGACAGAAUGCCCAUAAUUUCUGCAAAGCUGAGUGUGCGUGUGACAGGUGCUGACAAGGCUAGAAAAGUAGGUGCCUCUUCGAUUUCUGAGAUCGGCCCUCGUGGUCUCUGAGCAGCCCAGCUUUUGAGAAAGCGAGCGUCUCUUCGAUUGAUUCGGAGAACGGUGCCUCACCGAUUUUUGAGAAAGCAAUCAUGCUGGGGGUCUGGCUCUAGAGAUUCGGGGAGCAGUGUCUCUUCGAUUUUUGAGAAAGUAAUCAUGUUGGGAGAGUGGCUCUCGAGAUUCGGAGGGCGGUGCCUCUUCGAUUUUGGAGCAAGCAAUCUUGUUGGGAGUGUUUUCUCGAAUGUGAGUAAAGGUUGGGCAUGUUUGCUAGUCUACCUUGCCACGAAGCACAGAGGUUGACACACAGAGACUUUCCAAUUAUCCAGCAAUGGUACUGUUCCUUUACCCUCUCUUCGAUUUUUAAGAAAGUAGUCAUGUUGGGAGUCUGGCUCUUUAGAUUCGGAGGACGGUGCCUCUUCGAUUUUGGAGCAAGCAAUCUUAUUGGGAGUGUUUUCUCGAAUGUGAGUAAAGGUUGGGCAUGUUUGCUAGUCUACCUUGCCACGAAGCACAGAGGUUGACAUACAUGGACUUUCCAAUUAUCCAGCAGUGGUACUGUUCCUUUACCCUUGUGGGUAAUAAUAUGGUAGCUAGACCUUCAAAAUUUAUGGGUCUAAACUUUGUUAGUGCUGUUUCUUUGCUAUUCUUUUACCCUUCUUGGUCAGAGCGAUGUAGUGGGAGCUGCAAGCUUCACGUGCUCAACUUUGGCAGAGAACUUUGGCAAAGUUAUCUGUGGUACCCAUGAGCUAUUGUUGCGUGUGGGAAGUGGGUGAUUGAACAGUAAGAUUCAUGUGUUUUCUACUUCCACAGAAGUCUUUGACAGAAUGCCCAUAAUUUCCGCAAAGCUGAGUGUGCGUGUGACAGGUGCUGACAAGGCUGGAAAAGUAGGUGCCUCUUCGAUUUCUGAGAUCGGCCCUCGUGGUCUCUAGGGAGCCCAUCUUUUGAGAAAGCGAGCGCCUCUUCGAUUUCUGAGAUCGGCCUUCGUGGUCUUUGAGCAGCCCAACUUUUGAGAAAGCAAACGGCUCUUCGAUUUCUGAGAUCAACCCUCGUGAUCUCUAAGCAGCCCAACUUUUGAGAAAGCAAACGCCUCUUCGAUUUCUGAGCAGGCGCCUCUUUGAUUUCUGAAGCUCCGUCGAGUGCAGAUUUUUAUAGGGGCUGGCAUUAAGUUCCAAAGCACACUUGAAUCUCCACCAGUAGAAGCUUCAUUCUUGCACUUCUAAGAUCUUGAUUUGUCCGACCUCUUCUCUCUUCAACACCUUUGAAAAUGUCUGGCCCCUCCGACCGUCGUUUUGACUUGAACCUUGUUGAAGAGGCAGCCCCGCCUUCUCCAGACAACAUAUGGCGCCCAUCCUUCGUCUCCCCAACUGGUCCUCUUACCGUUGGGGAUUCCGUGAUGAAGAAUGAUAUGACCGCUGCGGUGGUGGCCAGGAACCUUCUCACUCCCAAAGAUAACAGACUACUUUCCAAACGGUCUGAUGAGUUAGCUGUUAAGGAUUCGCUGGCUCUCUCAGUGUUCAGUGUGCAGGUUCUGUGUCUAAUAUGGCCCAACGCCUAUUUGCUCGAACCCGCCAAGUUGAAUCAUUGGCGGCUGAAGUGAUGAGUCUCAAACAGGAGAUUAGAGGGCUCAAGCAUGAGAAUAAACAGUUGCACCGGCUCGCACAUGACUAUGCUACAAACAUGAAGAGGAAGCUUGACCAGAUGAAGGAAACUGAUGGUCAGGUUUUACUUGAUCAUCAGAGAUUUGUGGGUUUGUUCCAAAGGCAUUUAUUGCCUUCGUCUUCUGGGGCUGUACCGCGUAAUGAAGCUCCAAAUGAUCAACCUCUGAUGCCUCCUCCUUCUAGGGUUCUGUCCAGUACUGAGGCUCCAAAUGAUCCCCCUCCGGUGCCUUCUCUUUCUGGGGCUCUACCGACUGCUGAGACUUCUCCUAAGUAACCUUUGUGAAGGCUCCCUCUUGUGUGUUUAUUUUGACUCAUGUAUAUGUACAUAUUUGUAGCUUAUCGGGGAUAUCAAUAAAUAAGCUUUCCUUCAUUUCAACGUAUUGUGUUAAAUACACCAAAGCCUUCUUCGCUAAGUUCUUUGAAUUUUCUUUUGUUGAAGCUUGUAUGUUGAAGCUUUCUGAGUGGAGCAUGUAGGUUGGGGUAGUGUUCCCUUAAUUUCCCGAGUGAGGAAAACUUCUUGGUUGGAGACUUGGAAAAUCCAAGAAACAGAUAAAGACUGAGUGCUGAUUUUUCUGUGCAACUCUUUUUUUUUUAGGCUUACAAAUUUGAUAGAAAUACUGAAUGAUAAAAGCUGUGUGUGAUAUGCAACCACUCAGAUUUAGUAUUAAAUGUAUCCACCAAUCAUUUUUAUGAGCUUCCAUUACCCAAAAAGUGGGCAGUCUAACUCCUGAUAACCUAAUCUUCGAUUUAGAAUUCACAUUCUCAGCACUCCCUUCUGUGUGGGGUCAUUUAAGCCUAACACAUAACAACACAAUUGGGUAACGUGAGAGCAAGCAAGAUGUGGCUCAACACGUGAGUAACAUGCUCUGGUACCAUAAAAAAGUUGAGGUAUAGAAACCAAUUGGUAAUAUUAGAGGUAGCCGAACUUUUUAUGAGGACAUGCAAGAUCCUUAGUUCUCCAACGUGAAAUUUACAUUCUCAAUAUCAUACAUAUAAACAUACAUACAUACAUGUUUAUGUGCACGCGCGCGCACACACAUAUAUAUAUAAAAUACACACACACAUAGGUGUGAAUAUACGUAUACACAUGUGGGUACAUACGUGCAGGCCAUGUGAGGUCACCGUCCAAAUGAAGAUGAGAAGUCAAAUUCCAAUGGCAUGAGUGGCAUGAGUCAUGACACCAUCGUCAGGGCUUUCCCAUGAUUCAUGUUCACAAGAAAUCACUGGUUUCUUUAUUAAUAUUAAGAAGAGACGACCACACCUACUCUCUUUUUAUUCUUCCAUGUAUUACAGUUGUAUGAUUCCAACAUGGGUUAGCAGACAGAAAAAUAUGGGUAACGCAGUCCAACCACGUUAUCCACAAAGCACUUCUCAAAAUAUCAAGGGAUGACGUAUAAUUUGGUUUUACUCAAUUACAUUGAUCCUCAACCAGUGCGGGAGUUGCUAGUCAGACAGUUGUAUUGAAAUUUCGGCCGUUUGUAUGUGAUCUUGUUCUAUGUGAGUUAUAUCCUAAUCAGUCAGCGUACCAAAAUUUCUCAAGUACGUAGAUAGACUUUUUUUGGCAGAAAAAAUAACUUUAAACUCAAAAUUUAUCAACACAAGCAAGACCAAAACAUCGACAUAAUAACCCAUAAUCAAACGCCGCUGCAAACAGGCGCUAAAAGAAUGCAGGGGAGUUCCGACGCCGCAAUCGAAACCCUAAGAACUUGAGGGGGGUACUUCGGCGAUCUCGAACAAGUGAAGGCGAUGAUCCUGAUCCACUCCGCCUUGUCCGGCGACACGCGUACGGUGGUGGAAUUCAGUGGAAGCCGAGCUCACCAACAUGGACCUCAAAUCCAUCUCCGCCAGCUCCUUGCUCGACCCGCGUACGCUCCGAAUGUCCUCUCACCUCCUCAGCCCCAAAGUCCUCCAGGUAAAUCACACCUCUCGUUUUCUGUUAUGAACUUAGGAUUGUGAUUAUCUUAAUCACAAAUUAAGAGUCAAGUUAGUCGUAAUUGAGGGUUUUACUUGUUAUUAAGAGCACUUGCUCUUUGGUUUGAAAAGAGAUCAGAAUUUUAGAAAGAAAUCAAAAUACAAAAAAUAUAUUGGAGCUUGCUCCUUCUCUCCUUCCCUCUUCUUCCAUAGCUUUCUUGUGCUACUUGCAGGUUGAUUAAGAGAAUUGAGAAUUGGGUCGUUUUCGGUUUGGUUGCUGAGAAAAUAGAAAAAGAGAGAAAAAAUAUGGUCCUUCGUUGCCUUUUUUUUUAAUUUUUAUAUCAGAUAGCUUGAGCAAGAGACGUUAUAACAGCAGUGUGUAGGAUUUUGCGAGGAAUUCGACUUUUGAAACUUGGGCUCACAGACGGCCGCAGUGAGGUAGUUGCUGUGAAGGACUCUCAUAUCCCGGCAAUCCCUGGCGACUUCUUUCCUAGAACUAAGGUACUUUCUGCUACUUCGUGCUUGCUCAAUGCUCGGCUUGUGCUUUAUAUGUAAAUGAGUUGGAGAUUUCUUUGAUUAAUCACUUUUUGGUUUUUGAAUAUGUUCAGCUGAGUAUUCAAACUAGUAUGAAAUUGAGCUAGAUUAUGGAAAAUUGGAUAAUACCGCAUUAAGAAACCAACACUUUUGUAGAACUUAAUGAUGAACACUGUGUGCUUUGUCACUGAAAAUCUUCGAGUUAAUUGAACAUCUUUUGUUUGUCUUACUUUUGGAUUGGCAGGUUCGUCUGGAAGGUAAAGCUACUGUACUGAACGGAAUGGUAUGUUUGAGUCCUAAAAUCGUGACAGUGUUAGGAGGUGUUGUUCAACCACUUUACGAAGAUUGGCAGAUGAAUAAAAAAUAUUCCGGGUUUUCACCUUCAUCUUUAAGGCUUUAAAGAUAUGUAAAAUCGUAUAAAACAUGUAGAAAGUUAUCAAUAUAUGUAAGAUAGACAAUACUAUUUACAUACAUGUGGAAAUCUAAGGAGGGAAUGAACUGCUUAUUGCAAAAAGUAUUUUAGUAACCUUUAUACAACAAAUUAGUUCACCAAUCAACCUUUCAAAAAUUAGUUUCAGUACAAAAGCAUGUGAUCUCACAUCCCUGGUUGCUAAUCCCCAAAUGGAAGGGUGUUCUCUAGACAAACCUUACAGAGAAACGAGUGAGUUUCUUCAAUCUUGCUAUGGAAGUUGGUAUAUGUCUUAUGGCUGUAUCCUCUGCUUCAAGUAUUUCCAGUGAUUCCAUCUCCCCUAAAUCCUCAUGCAGUUCUCCGAAUUUCGGACAAUUAUUAAGACAAAGAGUCCUAACAGAUUUGGACUUAUAGAAAUCACUUGGAAGAGAACUAAGACUGUAACAGUUUCUAAGGUUUACCAAAGAGAGAUUUUUAAGCUGUCCAAUGAAGGGGUGAAUCUCGGACAAACUAGCACAAUUUUCCAAUAUCAACUCUUUAAGAUCUGGGACCUUUGAAAAGUCUGGUGAUUCUAUUAAGGAAUAGGAAUGACUGAGAUUCAUGAUUUUCAACCUCCGAAGCGACUGUUGCAAAAAACCAAAGGAAAAGUGAAAUUAAUAUUCAAAAUGAAGAUCUCAUUAAAAAAAAAAAAAAAAAAAAAAAAAGAAGAGAGAAGGAAAUCAAAACGACAAAGAGAAACAGAACAUCAACAUGCGGGAUUGAUUGUACCUGGGAACCCUUCCAAACUUGUACCAGUUGGCUAAACCGCAUAUCUAUACAAACUAGUUUGUCUUGACGAAAAAAGUCAUCUGGUAUGGACUUCAAAUGACAUCUAUACCAGCGCAACCACUUUAACUCUUUGGAAAGAUAUUUGUAUUCUCCAUCUAGUUUUACGUGGUAUAGCUGGAGAAAUUUCAAUUUCUUCAUAUUGGCAAAUGCUACUGUACUGAAACUAUCAUUGUUCGAGCUCUGCAAAUCAAUAAUUAGUGCGACAAUUUCUUCAGAUUCCUGUUAAAGAAAAGGUUAUAUGGAGUAAGAAAAGGAUAAUCUGCAUAUGUUUUGACGUGAUUUUGCCUAAUUGAGCUUCUUAAUGAAAAUGCGUAUAUCUACACGUGAAUAUUGUUUAAUUUAUAAUAGACAUACGUAGGUUACAUAUAUGCUUUUCUUGUACGAUGCAUUAAUCCAAAAUUUUACUAGGAAUGUACUUACAGAUUUAUUUGUCAAUACAUCUGUGACCUCUUGAAGAUUCCUCAGCCUACUCCAUUUUCUAGGAUGACUGGGGGAUUUUUCAGAAAUGAUUACUCCAGCCAUUUCUCGAAUCAAAUCAUGCAUAUUCAACACGUUGCGUUCAAUAGUUACAAGGCAUCGUUCGCAAAGGAUACUAAUAUCUAUUAUUCCAUCUAAUACUUUUGCGACGUAUUCCUUAUUCCAUCCAAUAAAGAAACAAGAUAUGUCAAGGAAUAUAGCCUUUUGUUUUUCCGUUAGCCCUUGGAAGCUUAUUUUUAGUUGUUCUAUUAUUUCUCCAUCAGGAUCCAAUGUCUCCAGUUGACUUUCCCACUCUUCUAUGGGUCUUUUUAACAACAAAGAACCUAAAGUUUUAAGGGCUAAUGGCAAACCUUUACAGUAUGAAACAAACUUUUCUGAGAUUUGAAGAUAUCCUUCGUCAGGCCAAUUAUUUCCAAAAGCAUGCCAACUAAAGAGCUUCAAAGCUUCUCCAUCAUUCAAUUUCUGAACCUCAUAUAUCUCAUCCACUUUCUUUAGUAAAUGUUUAUCUCGUGUCGUUAUGAUAAUUCUACUUCCUGGACCAAACCAAUCCUGAUUUCCAGCUAUUGCAUUGAGUUGGUCCCCUUUAUCUACGUUGUCCAUGAUGAGAAGUACCCUUCUAUGUUGAAAUUCUUGUUUUAUCAGUUCAAUACCUUCACCAACACUUCUUAUUUGACGCUUACUUUUCAAGAUGGCAGAAACAAGUUUUUUUUGCAAAUAAACUAGACCAUGUUUACUUGUAGCGUCUCUAAUGUCAUCAAGGAAAAUUUUGGAUUGGAACUCACCAUGAAUUUGGUUAUAAAUGGCUUUGGCGGCUGUUGUUUUACCCCAUCCACCCAUCCCCCAAAUUCCAACCAUGACAACUUUAUUUGAUCCACCACCUGAAAGAUGAUUGAUAAUACGUAGAAUGCGAGAUUUGAUUUCAAUUGGGUGCUCGGCCACAUUUAGUUCAUUUGUUCUCGGAAGCCAUUUCAUAAUAAUCUCCUCAAUAAUUUUUCUAAUAACCUCUGCUUCCCGCCUGAAAAUUAAAUUCUUAAGCAUUAGUGGGACUCCAUGAAAGCUCAGUAGGAGCUAUCAGUACAUAAACAAUUUCCUUUCCUGUAUAUAUAUAAUAACUAGCCACUACCUACCACCUAGUAUAUGUGAUUUUGUGACCAACUUGAAUAAAAGAAAGAAAGUCAUUCGUUGAUAUAUAAAAGUUAGGUGUAUUAGUUAAAACUCCAAUUACGGUUUAGGUUUUGUAUGAGAGAUUAAGGUUUAUUAAUUAAGCAUGUUAAUUAAUGUUUAGCUUCUGUAAAAAUGUUAAUAAAUAAAGCAUUAAGUCAUUCACUAAAAUGUUCCAAAUCUUGAAAAGCAGGUGAAUGAUUACCUAUUGUCAGUAAUUCGAAGAUGGUGGCCGGACAAAUUUCCAGCUCUUGUAAGAGCCUCUCUCCACUGAUUUGCUUGUUUUUGUUUAGCUUCACGUUUCUUGUCAUCUUGUUCUUCACAGAUGUCUUUUUCGUGUUUCUGAAAUGCUUCGGCUAAAUCUCCGUCCUGCUUCCUGACAUGCGAAGGAUCAACGUGAUAGAAUAUUGGCAAAACAUGUCGACCCAGUUUGGAUUUGCACUCCAUAAUCUUCACCAGCUCGUUAAGACACCAACUCGAAUCCGCAUACAUCUUUGAGAAGACAAUGAUAGAGAUCCUCGACUCUUCGAUUGCCCGGAACAGUUGCUCUUUUAUAUCUUCCCCUCUUUCUAGAUCGUCUUCAUCCAUAUAAGCCUGGAAUCCCCGGUCUUUUAAAGUCGCGUGGAGGUUGCCCGUGAAGCCAUGGCGCGUGUCUUCGCCACUGAAGCUCAAGAACACGUCGUAAUUCCAAAGUUUUGACUCGGAGGAGGAUGAAGAGGAGGCUUCAUGGGCCGUCAUGACGGUAUCCACCGUAAUGGCGUUGCAGUGGUUAAGAUCACGACGGAAAAAAUGGCAGUGGCUGUGUUUGUGUUGCCGAACCGAUGAUACUGAAAUACCAAAAGCCAAGACAACCUUUCUUCAGUCCGCACAGUCAUCCAUAAUAAUUAAUAGGGGUUAGUGGAGUUUAAUCCUUCGUUGAGAUCAACUUUUCAAAAAAACCUGGUGUGAGAUAAAAAAUUUAAAUUAGUCCCUUGACUGGAUGUCCACCUCAUGAUUAACGUUAAAACUCAUAUUUCAUUGGAUUUAAUGUCUUUAUGUGUAUUUAAGUUCCUAAAAUAACCCCGCAAUUAAUAUUUGAUUUGAGUGCCUCAUUUCCUCCUAUAAAAGAUAACUACAUCUAAAAUAAUUGAGAUACCAAUUAACAAAUUCAGGUACAUAUCAAAUAAGAAAACGAAAUUAUUGAUUAAAAUUCAAAAAGUUUCAUAUCACAAUGAAACAAAACUCUAGAAAUCAAAAUUUAAUGAAUACAUCAAACCAAAUAAGUAAACAAUGUACCUAAACCAUGGUACCUAUACCAUAGUAUCUAUAGCAUGGUACCUAUAUCAUAGUACCUAAUACAUAGUACCUGCAAAUUAAAAAGACAUUAUUAGAAUUUUAAUGUAGAAAAAAAAAACCCACACGAUUUUAGUGAAAAUGCUAAACUUCCUAGACAAAUAAACGAAUCUGCACAACACCAUAGAAGAGGACGAUGGAAGAUUCAUACAAUUGAACUUUUGUGUUUAAAAUGAAAAACAGUUGAAAAUAUAUUAAGUAAUAAUUGCACACCCAUAACUCAACAUUUAAAAUUUGUUAUUGUCCAUCAUUACAUAAGGGCAAUGUUGGAAAAAUAGAAUCAAUAAAACCACCCAAAAAAAUAAACACUGACGUGGAUAAUAUAUAUUGACAUGGAUGUAUAGUCAAAUGACUAUAAUCAAUAUUUAAUCUUGCAUAAGACAUUUCUCUAACUAUAAUCUUAACCAAGGAUUAAAAUCACAUUUUCUACAUAUCAACAUAAUUAAAUUUUAUUUCUAAAGUAUAUUCAUUUAGUGUUAGAAACAUUACAUUUGGUAUAUUUAUAUUUAUGGUUAAACUUUGUAUCAUAUACUUCUAUUUUUAGUUUGUACCAUUUUUAAUUGGCAACCCUUUUUUAAUUUGUACCAAUUUUCUUUUUAGUUUUAAUUUGUACCCAUAUAUUAAUUUCAUUUGUACCCAUAUUUUUUUUAUUUUUAUUUAUACUCAUAAUUUAUUUAUAAUGUACCCAUUUUCUUUAUAAAUGUACCACUUUAUUAUAUGUAAAAUGUACUCUUUUUUUUUUUGUAAAUAUACCUUUUUUUUUAUGUAAAAUGUACCCAUUUUUUAAUGUGAAAUCUAUUUAUUUUUUAUUUAUAAUGUAUACAUAUUUAUUAUAAAAGUACCCUUUUUCAAUUUUUUGAACACUAUGAGUACAUUUGUUUGAUAAUUAUUAUUUCAAAGUUACAUUGUUACCUAUUUUUAUAUAUUUAUGCAAUCAAAAUUUUUGAGUAUUUUCUUUUUUAUUGUAAUCGUUUUUAAUUUAUAUGCCAUAUAAUAUGGGAUAUAUUAAUAGCAAUAAUGAGAUGUACAAAGUCAAGGGACUUUGACCAAAAAUUGAAUACCAUUAAGGUUUUAAUCAAAUAAUGUUAGUGGCUAGGGACCGGAUCUAAAGUCUCCUAAUAAUUUAUAACUGAAAUAAUGACGUUCAUUAAAAGCUAGGGACCUUGAUCAAAAAUUAAAAAGAAAUAAGGUUUUAAUCAAUUCAAUAGAAGAAAGAGGGAUGUGAACCUAAUUUCUCUUAAAAAGAAUUAUUCAAUAUGGACGGUAAAUGAUUCAGCCAUUUACAAGUUCUAAUUUAGGAUCACAAUUUACUGAAUCGUUGUAUUAACUAUUAAGUGGUGCUCUAAUGUAAUUUUUAGGAAUUUCUGAGGAGGCAUAUGUUAACACACACCCAAAUGAACCCAAUUUAGGCUCCACUGCUAAAAACUAUUGCAAAAUGCGCAGUAGGAUUGAACUGCUAAAGCCUAUUGCGAAAUGAACCACACAGUAAACCAUCCAAAUGGAUGCCAUAUAUGCAUAUACAAACAGUGUUUUGAAAGGACAAGGGAGCUAACAGUGUCUUUUUAUAUGACUCGAAGUUCUGGCUGCAAAUUGCAUGCAAUCAUUUUCUUGGCGGUGAUUAGCUUGUACAGCUAUUUAACUCUCAGUAACUCUCUCCAAAUGGUAAAGGCCAAGAGAGUGAGGUGUCCGGCUCGAUGUGGACUGAGCAAUUAGAUGAAUGAUCAGUAGACAAAGAAAUUGUUGGAUGCCACAAUCUCCAUAAGAGUGUUGGAACUCUUUGUCAGUUUAAAAAUAUUUGUGGAGGCCUUGAGUAGGCAUUAGGCUCUUUUAAAUGAGUUAAAUGUUAGUGUCAGGCGUGCUACCGUUGGCUCAGAUCAAAAUAAAGAUUGUAAUAUGGUACUGUUAGAUUGUAAACUUACGCCACAACUAAGCCGAGCUUCUUAACCAAAGCAUUGUGCCAUAGAAGGGUUAAAUCUGUGUUCAAUUCUUUUCUGUGCCUUGUUGUUAAGGACUUUAUAUGUACGUUUUUUGUUAUACCAAGUGAUACCCACAAACUGAUGAAAUAUUGGUAAUGGUUGCACUGCAGCAAGUCAAACUCCUUUGCUCAACAAAAACAAAAGUUUAUAAUAUAAUAAUGUUAGCAUAUGAACUUGAGAAACAACGGCCGAGAAGGUGCAGUGAAAGUGAAAGAAAGAGGAAAAGAAGAAGGAAAUGAAACAAAAGACUAUCCAACAGAUUUUAAGAAUGACUUCUUGGCAAUGAUUACAGCUAUUCACAUAUUCAACUAUGAAAAUGUAUAAAAUAUGAUAUGAUUAUAUAUGCAAGUAACGUUUGACCAAAAAAACAAAAAAAAAAAAAAAAAAAAAUAUAUAUAUAUAUAUAUAUAUAUAUAUAUAUAUGCAAGUAACGACCCCAAAUCUUAUUGGAGCUAAUUAACUAAUGUAAUAAAAUAGCUAGUCUUAUUAGACAUUUGGAUUCCUUAGCAAGUGGAACUUUUUUUUUAGUUUAGAAGUCAUGUAGUAAUUAAAUAGUUGUGAUUAAUAUCUUAAGAUUUUUUUUUUCAUCAAUGGUAAUCUAUACAAUUGUAACAGUCAUUAUUUGUUAAUAAUUUGUGCUUUGGCAAGUUUGCUGCAGGAUGGAUUGAGGGGAGAGGCUUCUUUCGGAUAGUUUGUAUGAAAUAUUAGAGAGAGAUAUAAUUGUUUUGUAUAAAAUAAUUAAAAAAAUUGAAAUUGACACGUGGACUUUUUAGUCACAAUUAAGUUAUUAACUAGAAGGACAAGGAUUGUCUGCCCUCUUUGUUCACGUGCCCUCUCAUGCCCUUCUGUUUGUGUAGUCAUGGUUAAGCCACGUUAACAUUUUAUAUUACUAUUUAUUUUUAUCUUAUUAUCUCUAUGACGUGGCUUAACCGUGACCACACAAAACAGAAAGGCACGGGAACAAGGAGGGCAGACAAUCUUUGUCCUAACUAGAAUGACCCUAUUAAUUUGGCAAGACCCACAUCCGUUCUAUGCAGUUCAACCACCACUAAUGGAGUAUUAAGUUUAAUUUAAUGCCACUUAAUUGUGGGGGAAGGGGUCGGGAGGAGACCGAUGUUUUUACACUUGGAUUUAUUCAUUGAUUAUUUCUAGUGGUGCAUGUAUAGUUGUAGAUGGGGCAAGUGUAAGGUUGCAGAAUAAAACUUGAAUCAUUUGAAUGGAGGGAAAAACAAAUUUCUGCUAAAAUUUGUCCAUAUCAACGAUCACACAAGAAACAUAUUUAGUUAGCUUACUAGAAAGUGAUGUCCGUGCAUUGUUGUAGGAUUAGAAAUUGUGUGAAUAAUUAUAUUUGAAAGAUUAUCAAUGUCAAAUUUAGUGUAAUCAGCAGAUCUCUAACUUUCCAAUAGUAUAUAAAUUUGAACUAAUAAAAUGUAUCUCUAAGUUUCUAGAAGUGUUCAAAUUGAAACUAAUAGUUUGUUUUAUUUUUUGUUUUGUAUACUGGUACUUUAAAAACCAUAAGUAACGGAUCUUUCUUCUCUAUAUUGAUAAUUUAAGAUUCGCUAUUAAAAAACGAAUUCAUAAGUUAGGUUUCAAAGUGUACUAUAACAUUGAUUAAUCUAAACACUACCUCAGCAAACCAAACAAUUUUAUUUCCUCCAUAAAUGUCCUUGUUUAAUUACUUUACAAAGUUAAUUUGUUUCAAAAGAUUGAAAGCAAGUGGUUUUCAACUUUGAAAUCCCACAGCAUGAAUAGAUAAAGGAAUAGUUUCUCCAUUAUAUUCAACACCACUAUAAACCACACCAUGACAUCCUCUUGCUGGGAACAAAAAGAAAUUUAUAUAAACAAUCAGAAACAAUAGAAUUGUUAAUGUAAAAUUGCAUGAUAUAAUGGUUAAAAACUAUGUAAACCAUCUAGACAUCAAGAAAUAAAAAGUAUAUGAAAACUGAGGACUUAUUUGAGUUGAGAGUUCACAUAAUGCUUUUAAGAGUGGUUGAGUUUUGUUGGAUUGAGAUAUCUCCUUUCUGCACAAAGGAGUUUCAGAUGCAUGUUAAGAUUAUUAGCCUAACUUUGAUUUACAAUUAUUUGAGAAUUGUGAUUUAUACAUAAAUAAAUACACACACACACACACAAAGAAUAAGAGAAGACAGAAAAUGGGGAAACUGUGUGUACACUAAGAUGCAUGUCAAAUAUGAUUGACAAAGAAGAUGCUCUUUUAUUUUUCAGGAAUUUCAAGGAGGCAAAUAUAUGGGGGUGGACCAUAUAAUACACCCAAAUGGAUCAAUUUUUAGGCUCCACUGCUAAAAACUCUUGCAAAAUGCGCAUAAGGAUUAAACUGCUAAACACCAUUGCGAAAUGAACCAUAUAUACAUAUAUAAACAAUGUUUUGAAAGGACAAGGGAGCUAACGCUUUUUAUAUGACCUGGACUUGGAGUUCUGGCCGCAAAUUGCAUACGAUGACUUUCUUGGCGGUGAUUAGCUAGUACAGCUAUUAAACUCUAACAGUCUCCUGUCUUCAAAUGGUAAAGACCAAGAGAGUCAGGUGUUCCAGCUGAAAGUGGCCUGAGGUAGUAGAUGAAUGAUCAGGUGACAAAGAAAUUGUUGGAUGCAACAAUUCUCUAUGAGAGUAUUGGAGUUCUUUGUCAGUUUAAAAAGGGAAAGAAAGGAAAAGAGGAAGGAAAUGAACAUGAAAAGACAAAGACUAUGCAACAGAUUAUAACAAUGACUUAUUAGCAGUGAUUACAGCUAUUCACCUAUUCAUGGUAUCAAUCCGUAUAAACUAUGAUAUGAUUAUAUAUGCAAGUAACGACCCCAAAUCUAAUUGGAGCAAAUUAACUAAUGUAAUAAAAUAAUCUUAUUAGACAUUGGAUUCCUUAGCAAGUGGAACGUUUUUUUUAGUUGAGAAGUCAAGUAGUAAUUAACUAGUUGUGAUUAUAUCUUAAGAUUUUUUUUCCAUCAAUUGUAAUCUAUAUUCUUGUAACACUCAUCAAUCUGUCAUGGUGGUAUCUACCGUUAUGGUGCUGCAUUGGUUCAAAUAAAAAAUGACAGUUGUUCUGUUGCUGGACCGAUUAUACUGAAACACUGAAGCCAAUUCAACAUUUCCUCAGUCCUCAAAGUCGUCCAUAUAAUUAAUAUAAUAAUCUUUCUUCACUGCCGGGCGGGAAGGUGCGGGGAAAGAGAGGAAAAGAACAAAGAUAUGAACACGAAAGGAUAAAGACUAUCCAAAAUAUUAUUGGUAGUGAUUCUUAUCAAUAAUGCAUUAUUUUAUGUUGAAAUUCAGAAGCAUUUGAGAAGUAGAAUGCCAACAACCGCAUAAUAAACAAAAGGGAUUAGAGAACAGACCCAAAUAUGAAAGGAUAUAAAAAUAAUUAUUCAAGAUGUGCGGUGAUGAGUCGAUAUUAUUCUAUAUUUUUACCUAAUCUCAAUUAGUAUUAUUAGUUAUUUUGAGAGAAUUUUGAUACUUUGCUCUAUAUUUUAAUUGUAAGACAUGUGCAUCUACUUUGGGCGAAAAAAGAUGAAAUGAAGGAAUUUUGAAGUAAUUCCAAUUGGAGUGGAUUCGUAGGUCUUUAAAGAUGAUUGUGUCAAGUGGGGCGUUGGUUGAGUGUAAUAAAUUAAUUUUUCUAAAUUUUGUAAUAGAUUAAUUGAAGUACAUUCGUGAGUCUUUGCUCAGGCCAAGAGAGUCAGGUGUUCCGCUGAAUGUGGCUUGAGCAAAUAGAUCUUGAGUGUAAUAAAUUAAUUUUUCUAAAUUUUGUAAUAGAUUAAUUGAAGUACAUUCGUGAGUCUUUGCUCAGGCCAAGAGAGUCAGGUGUCCGGCUGAAUGUGGCUUGAGCAAUUAGAAGAAUGAUCAGUAGACAAAGAAAUUGUUGGAUGCCACAAUAUCCAUGAGAGUGUUGGAACUCUUUGUCAGUUUAAAAGUACUUUUGGAGGCCUUUUGUAGGCAUUAGGCUCUUUUAAAUGAGUUGGUUGUUAGUGUCAGGUGUGCCAUUGUUGGUUCAGAACAAAAGAAAGAUGGUAAGCUGUUAUUGUUAGAUUGUAAAUUUACCCCACAACUAAACUCAGCUUCUUAACCAAAGGACUGUGCCAAAGAAGGGUUAAAUCUAUGUUAAAUUCUUUUUUAUGCCUUCUUGUUAAGGAACUUUAUAUAUAAAUUUUUUGUUAUAUCAAGUGAUAACUACAAACCGAUUGAAUAUUGGUAAUGGUUGCACAACAGCGUGUCAAGCUCCAACAAAAACAAAAGUCUAUCUUCUACAUAUAAAGCCAAUAAUAAAGUGAAUACUGUUUUUUGGUGUCACAACCUACAACAAAAAUAAUUUAACAAAAAUGCCCCUCAAACAAAAAACUUCAAAAGCAACUCAAAAUAAUGCAUCAAAUGUGGUAGGGGUAUUUUCAUCAUUUUAAAAGUAUUUUUUUAAUAAUUAUUUUUUUGUACUGUUUUUUUUAAUUAGUACCUCACAAUAGGCUAGCAAUAAUGUGAUUCAAUCAACUGUUCAUUUAAUAUUAUUUUGGGAACUUUAACGAAAAGCUCCCGGUACUGUUUACUUUAACGAAAAAUCACAUUUUUACUCUAAAAAAUCAAUCAUGGUACUAUUCACUUACAACACUUUUUUUUCAUUUUCGUUAAAAAUCAAAGUUUUCAAGCCAUUUUCAUUAGUCUUUCUUAUUAUUUUCUUUAUUUUUAAACAUGUUCAAAACAUCUUAAGAAGCGUGUAAUGCCGGUUAUAAAAAAAGUUUUCCGCACGUGGAUAAUAAGUGAUUAAAUUAGUUGUCAAAUGAUUUUUUUUUUUUAAUAAACGAUAUUAUCUACACGAAUGGGGAGGAGGGUGGGCUUAGCCUCACAAUGGACUAGCAAUAAUGUGAUUCAAUAAGUUGUUUAUUAAAUAUUAUUUUCUUUAUUCUUAAUGUAAAUUUUAUAAAGACCGAUUUUAUUAUGUGGAUUCAGCUGCUUUAAUUGGUUUAUGAGGGAUUUCUUCUAGUAUGAUCUAAAAUUAUUCAUUUACUUAAAUAUUUGACUAUCAUUUUGUCAUAUAAAUAGGGACAAAACUUUGAGUCCACUAAACCAAGUCUUUAACCCACUUGGUUGUUGUCGUAUUAAAAUUAUAUGCACCUUAUGACAGAGAAAAUCUUCUCAUACCUAGAUAUUUUUAUUAGCCAAAUUAAAUUGGGCGAAAAGUCGGGCGUACUAGAACGCUUGAAUUAGUCCAUUUUGGUGGCAUGCGGAAUAUAAUCGCCCGAGUGGGCCAAGUUCUGGUUGGAGCUAAGAACGAAUAUCUACGUAAUUGAUUAGUAAUAAAAUAUGUGUAAUAAUUGCAAAACUUGCAUAAUUAAUUUAGGAGUUGGGACGUAUCCAUCAAGAAAUCAAUCGUACUUGAAAAUAUACAUAUAUGUAUGUAUAGUAGGGUUUGUGUGUCUCUUUUUUGACCAUGGCUUUUCUGGGAAGAACAAGAGUCUGGUAGCUCAGACCCAAAGCCAAAGCCAUGGGGAAGGACGGGAAAUGAAAGAAGAUAAAUUCUAAGGAUACUCUCUUAAUAGUGAGAUGCUUUAUAGACUUUCUGCCGCCUCGUGUUUUUUGCACAAUAUUUUAUAAUGUUGACACGAAAAUUGACGUUAAAUUAUAAAGUGACAGAGAGUUCAUAAAGAAUUAUUUUAAAAAAGUCUCCUUAACAUUUUUCACGAAAGAAAUAUGAUCUGAUGAAACCUUUUGGUUUUGCUUUUGUGGGAAAUAAAAGUCAAAGUUAUGAGAGCUUUGAUAUUAUAUGUUUUUCAAAUUUCUAGAAAUAAGGAUGAACCCUAGAGGAGAGGAGAGGGUUCAAGUAAUCAUAUAUACCUUUUGUCACAUUUCUUUGAUCAAAUCAAAAUUUUAAAGUGUAUGUAAUAAUGUUUGCAACAUUUUAUAUAUACAACAAUGUUAAGAUUAUUUGAUGCAUUAUUUUGGAAUGAACAUUGUUAAAACUAAAAUACCCCUACAUUAUUUGAUGCAUGAUUUUGGUCACAAGCUUCAACAAACAAAUUUGGACCAAAAUGCCCCUCAAACAAAAAACUUCAAAGACAACCCAAAAUAAUGCAUCAAACGUGGCAUGGAUAUUUUCGUUAUUUUAACAGUGUUUUUUUAAUAAUUAAUUUUUUUUGUACUAUUUUUUUUUAAUUAGUACCUCACAAUAGGUUCGCAAUAAUAUGAUUCAAUCAGUUGUUCAUUAAAUAUUAUUUUCUCUAUUUUUCAACACGUUCAAAACAUAUUAAGAGGCGUGUAAUGCUGGUUAUAAAAAAGGUAUCUCUGUCACAUCUCAGUCUCGGCUUCGUUGUAGCACGAUAUUGUCCGCUUUGAGCCACGCCCUCACGGUUUUGUUUCUAGGAACUCACGAGAGAACUUCCCAGUGGGUCACCCAUCCUAGGACUGCUCUCGCCCGAACUUGCUUAACUUCGGAGUUCCGAUGGAACUCGAAGCUAGUGAGUUCCCAAAAGGCCUCGUGCUAUAGGGAGGGGAGUAUGUACAUAUAAGGCACAUCACCCCCUCUCCGUUGGUAGAUGUGGGAUCUCACAAUCCACCCUACUUAAGGGGAACCCGGCGUCCUCGCCGGCACAUCCACACCGAACGGCAGAGUGGCUCUGAUAAUUUCGCACGUGGAUAAUAAUGUGAUUAAAUUAGUUAUCAAAUGAUUUUUUUUUAACAAACGAUAUUAUCUACACUAACGGGGAGGGGGUGGGCUUAGCCUCACAAUAAGCUAGCAAUAAUGUGAUUCAAUCAAUUGUUUAUUAAAUAUUAUUUUCUCUAUUCUUAAUGUAAAUUCUAUAGAGACCGAUUUUAUUAUGUGAAUUCAGCUGCUUCAUUUGGUUUAUAAUGAGUUUCUUCUAGCAUGAUCUAAGAUUAUUCAUUUAAUUAAAUGUUUGACUUUCCUUUUGUCAAUUUACGCAUAUAAAUACAUUUAAAACGUGUAAGUUGCGCGUAGCACGCCAAUGAUUCAAAAAAAUAUUCAAACAAAGAGGUGAAUAGUGCUUUUGGUGUCACCACGCUUCAACAAAAUAUUCAAACAAAAUUGCCCCUCAAACAAAAAACUUCAAAGGCAUCUCAAAAUAAUGCAGGAGCAUUUUCAUCAUUUUAACAUUAAUUUUUUUGUGGUUUUUUUUAAAUUAGUGCCUCAUAAUAGGCUAGCAAUAAUGUGAUUCAACCAGUUCUUUAUUUAAAAAACACGUUCAGAACAUCUUAAGAGGCGUGUAAUGCCGAAUAUAAAAAAAGUCUUUCGCACGCUGAUAGGAGCAUAUUUAUGCGACUUAGUUAACUUGUUUCUUGGCAUUUAUGUUGUUAGUUCGUAGUUAUUUUAGUAUUUUAAGCUAUUUUCGUGUGUUUGUAGGUCCAAAGGGUUAAUGUGGCAAAGAAGUGCAUUUUGGAGCAUUUUGGAGCAUUUUUGGACAUGGAAUGGAUGGCAUAUGCUUGGAGCAAAAGGAAUGGACGAAAUUUGAAGUUUGUGCAUCAUCAUCUCCCUAUAAAUAACCAUUUUAGCACACUCAUUUCACCCAACACAUCCAUUCACCUACCAUUACAUCCACUCAUUUCACCCAACACAUCCAUUCACCUACCACUACAUCCACUCAUUUCACCCACCACAUCCACUCAUUUCAACCACCCAACACAUUCACCUACCACUACAUCCACUCAUUUCAUUUCAACCAACACAUCCAUUCACCUACCACUACAUCCACUCAUUUCAACCAUCCAACACAUUCACCUACCACUACAUCCACUCAUUACCACCACCCAUUACAUCAUCUCUCUAGCCUAUAAAUACAUUCAUCCACCCUUCACCAUGGGAGAUGGAUCUAUCCAAAAUCACACACACACAUCAUCUACACAACUCUCCACUCUUUGCCGCAUUCUCCAUCCAAUCUAAACCUAUCCAUGAUCCUUCCAUUCAUCCAUCAACAUCCAUAGACACUUGUGCCGCAACAAGGUGGGGAAAAAGAAGAUGGUCCUUUGGCGUUUCAAGCUUGAAGAUUGGAGCGUUUUAGGUGUACUUCGUUCUUAUUUUCAAUGUCUAUUUUGUUAUUUUCUAAUUUUGUUGCAAUUAUGAGUGGCUAAACCCCUAUUUAGUUAGGGGGAAGUUUGAAACCAUGAACAUGCUUGAGAUAUGAAUUGAUUUCUUCCAAUUGUGAUUUGAUAAGUUGUGAUUGCAAUUCAAUUAUC
rnacentral:lncRNA from 1 species